rnacentral:rRNA from 1 species
UGACCGCUGGCGGUAGGCCUACCACAUGCACGUCGAACGGCAGCACAGUAAGAGCUUGCUCUUACGGGUGGCGAGUGGCGGACGGGUGAGGAAUACAUCGGAAUCUACUUUUUCGUGGGGGAUAACGUAGGGAAACUUACGCUAAUACCGCAUACGACCUACGGGUGAAAGCAGGGGAUCUUCGGACCUUGCGCGAUUGAAUGAGCCGAUGUCGGAUUAGCUAGUUGGCGGGGUAAAGGCCCACCAAGGCGACGAUCCGUAGCUGGUCUGAGAGGAUGAUCAGCCACACUGGAACUGAGACACGGUCCAGACUCCUACGGGAGGCAGCAGUGGGGAAUAUUGGACAAUGGGCGCAAGCCUGAUCCAGCCAUACCGCGUGGGUGAAGAAGGCCUUCGGGUUGUAAAGCCCUUUUGUUGGGAAAGAAAAGCAGCAGGUUAAUACCCCGCUGUUCUGACGGUACCCAAAGAAUAAGCACCGGCUAACUUCGUG